rnacentral:rRNA from 1 species
UGCCAGACUCCUACGGGAGGCAGCAGUGGGGGAUAUUGCACAAUGGGGGAACCCUGAUGCAGCGACGCCGCGUGGGUGAAGGAGCGUUUCGGCGCGUAAAGCCCUAUCGGCAGGGAAGAAGGAGGACGGUACCUGACUAAGAAGCCCCGGCUAACUACGUGCCAGCAGCCGCGGUAAUACGUAGGGGGCAAGCGUUAUCCGGAUUUACUGGGUGUAAAGGGGGCGCAGACGGCAGCGCAAGCCAGGAGUGAAAGCCCGGGGCCCAACCCCGGGACUGCUCUUGGAACUGCGCGGCUGGAGUGCAGGAGGGGCAGGCGGAAUUCCUGGUGUAGCGGUGAAAUGCGUAGAUAUCAGGAGGAACACCGGUGGCGAAGGCGGCCUGCUGGACUGCGACUGACGUUGAGGCCCGAAAGCGUGGGGAGCAAACAGGAUUAGAUACCCUCGUA